UACGUAGGGGGCUAGCGUUGUCCGGAAUUAUUGGGCGUAAAGAGCGCGCAGGCGGUCGUUCAAGUCGCGUGUGAAAGCCCCCGGCUCAACUGGGGAGGGUCACGCGAUACUGAUCGACUCGAAGGCAGGAGAGGGAAGUGGAAUUCCCGGUGUAGUGGUGAAAUGCGUAGAUAUCGGGAGGAACACCAGUGGCGAAGGCGACUUCCUGGCCUGUUCUUGACGCUGAGGCGCGAAAGCUAGGGGAGCAAACGGG
rnacentral:rRNA from 1 species